CUGGCUCAGGAUGAACGCUAGCGGCAGGCCUAACACAUGCAAGUCGAGGGGUAACAUAGGAAAGCUUGCUUUUCUGAUGACGACCGGCGCACGGGUGCGUAACGCGUAUACAACCUACCUUUUAGCGGGGAAUAGCCCAGGGAAACUUGGAUUAAUGCCCCAUAG
rnacentral:rRNA from 1 species